rnacentral:lncRNA from 1 species
ACACUGCAAGUUUAGGAGACAUCAGACACCAUGCAUCAUGUGAAGCAAUAUAAAAGUGGAGCGCCUGCAUUCACUACUGAAAGAUGUAGUAUUAUGUCAAGAGAUCUCAAAUUGCUUUGUCCUGUUGAUGUUAAACUUCAUGGCGAAAGAUAAUAACUUGGAGGGGUGAAGGCACAAGAUUUACCAACUAGAAAAAAAGCUGACACCAGUAUACUACCAGUUUCUUCCUCACCUGCAUUCUGGCAAGAGAGGCUGUUGCAGCUGAAAAUGAUCCUGCUAGAGAAACAACUGCAAUCAAAAUUGUGUUUGAGCUGGGAACAUUUGAAUUAGACUAUAUAAAGACUAAUUGUUCCAUACAAAGAAGCAAGUUCAUUUCCAAGUAUGAAUUCUAGUAUCAAACUCAAGUCUGUUUCCUGUAGGUUCCCCUAGUGUUGUGUCUCUGGUUUAGUAUGAUCAAUAUAUAAAUUGACAGAUCUCUUCCAACUGCACUAUACCACUAAUAUGAAGAGAACUGUUUAUUUGACACCUACAUCUUUACUGCUAGUGAUAAAUGAAUAGAAAGGGUCAGAUCACUCGGUCUAAGAAUCGGAUAUAUCAGGCCACAAUAAUCAGAAUGAGAAAGAAAAGCUCUAAGAUUAGGAUAUAACAGAUGAAACUUCAACAUCACCAGUGGCCACAUGCUAUCAUUAACCUGCUUGCAGUGAAGAACAAAGUAACAUAGAAGAGAUGCUACUGAUACCAAAAGCAUUAGACUACAUGGCUCCCACUGAUCUGUUCACGCGCAGGUUCUUUGAGUCAUCAAAGGACAGCAACAGCCAUCCAAUUAACUGGCAUACAUAUCACAUGCAAUCAUGCAAUAAAACCCAUAUUUAGCGCCAGGAAGAAAGAAUUCUUCAAAUACUGUACCAUAUUGACCAUAUCGACCGCCAUAUCACAAGUUAACACUGUACCAAAAACGAAAGAAUUCUUCAAAUAUGAGCUAUUAACAGUUUUGACCUGCCAUAAUAGUUACUGAAAGAAAAAAAAGAAUAAUAACAGACCUAGAAUGCAAGAGUCAUAUGAAAGCAGUUUGGUUGAGCUUUCCAUGAUGAUGUAGCCAUAUGUGAACCACAUUGUUGAUAUUAGUAGCAAAGAUUCUGAUUGAAGAUAACUCUCAAAGAGUCCCAGUAGUCAUUUUACCAAGAAACCACUAGUGUCAAAUUCAUAAUCAACAUAUCCAAUUCGAACAAUACAGAGAUCUCCUGGAGCUUCAUCAUUCACCAAUCGAGAACAUAUGCUUCUUUUUAUAAUCGUGUGCCCGUAUUGCCUGUGAGCAUGAGAAGUUGGAUAAGUGAUAAGGGUAAUGUUAUGAACUUUCGCAGGACUAACCAGUAUGGCAAUGGCAUGUACAGAAGUCAGGCACCCAACCAUCCAAAGCACAUGAGAGAGUAGCAAAUCAUAAAACCAUGGAAAGUUGAAAUUUUAGAUAAGUUGACAGCACCACCUCUUGCGAUGCUUGCAGAUGCUGUUCAUUAGAAAAAAAUGUCCUGAACACAGAAGAACCACAUAGUACAAAAUCUACAAGCAUUAAUAACAACAACAUGAUAGUUAUAUGAUCCGAAGGAAUGGUAUUAGGUCAAGAAGGCAUCCAAAUAAAAAAUGUCAGCUGAUUGGACUAGCUGAUCAUCCACCACCAUCACAAGAUCAUAUUUGCCGAUGGUUUACCUCAAACUCUUCUGUGCUCAAAACAAGGGACCUUAUGAGCAUAUGAGGUUUUAUCUCUAAGAUAAGUGCUGUUCGGAAUCUCUUCAGCUUCACAAUAAUGCCAUGACCUAAAUUAAACAGGCAUUUAGAGCACAAAAGUGACUUAUCCUGAGCUUCUAUUUUCAUUGAUGUUCAGUAUCAUACCUCACGAAUCCACUACCACAUUCUUCAGGUGGUUCUGGUUUCACCACUCUUCUUGAUGCUUAUAUCCAGUCACUCCCACCAGCCAGUUAGGAAUUGUUCCUUCAUCCUCUUUGAUAGAAUCUGGUCCUUUAGCUCCUUAAUCCUUUUAACUCUUUUCCAUUCUCUGCACAAAAAAGUUCAUGUUGCUUCCAGCCUUCAUCUCCCUACCAUACUCCCUCAUGCUCGGAAUUUCUUGUGUUAAUCUAAAUGUCAAGUAUGAGUAUAACAAAACAAAUAAAAUGCUGCAACUCAAGUAGGUAGAUAAGAAUUCAAACAUUCAACAGGCAAGGAGGACAUGUGUACAAUAUCUAGAAUAUACUAGUUAUGGAUGUGAUAUAGCUAGCCAGAACCAAAAAUGGACACGCAAUUAUCAUGUAGGAAAUCAAUAGUUACAUUGAGACAAUAGGAACUUUAUCUGUGUUAAACCACUAGAUACAUUUGAUAAAUGCUCAUCCUAGUGACAGCCAUCCUUUGGAUAUCUGCAGCACCAUACACUCUCACCAUUCUGCACUAAGUUCAGGUAUCAGAAAUUAAAAGCUCAUUAGCAUUAGAGGGCACAGAUUCAUGAAACUAAUUAGAACACAAGCAUGCAAUUUCACACAGUAGUCAGAACUUCUUUACCUCGACAUACUAGGAUAAGAAUUCCACAAAGAGAGCUUCCGGAAUUGCUACUCCAAGUACGCGAAUGUAUCACACUAAACGAUAUAGGGAUUACUCUAGAUAAAAAUUCCACAUUGAUCCAAAAGGACACUACAAGACCAACAGAUCAAACCUCACAACGACAGCAAACUACAGAUUGCCAGUUCAUGUCUCUUUCCAUCUAUUAGUCUUUAAAAAACCCCUUCUUUUUUCUCCGUCACAGCAACAGUGCGUCUAAGAAAGAAACAGCCCUAACCACCGAAGCCAUAGAGAGUGCGGCCCUGCCUCUUGAGCGCAUACACGACGUCCAUGGCAGUGACAGUCUUGCGGCGGGCGUGCUCGGUGUAGGUGACGGCGUCACGGAUGACGUUCUCGAGGAAGAUCUUGAGGACGCCGCGGGUCUCCUCGUAGAUGAGGCCGCUGAUGCGCUUGACGCCGCCGCGCCUCGCCAAUCGCCGGAUGGCUGGCUUGGUGAUGCCCUGGAUGUUAUCGCGCAGCACCUUGCGGUGACGCUUCGCCCCGCCCUUUCCCAACCCCUUCCCUCCCUUCCCUCGCCCCGACAUUGUCGCCCGGCUACCAGAAACCUAGAAUUCAAUCGCCGCAGUGAAGGAAUCGAGCAUCCGGAAGGUCGAAUCUCGAGAUCCGAGAACACGGAGGAUUAAGCGGAGUAGGAAAUGGAUCGACCCACUUCUCACCUGAGGACGGAGAGCUUUAAGAAGUGGCGAACAAGUUGGACUUAGGAAGCGGGGUAAGAUUAGACGGUCAUUUAUGGUCUGAUGAGAGCCCCCUCGGAGGAUGUAGAGACGCUAAUCACCGUAGAUUGACAUAGAUCAACGGUUAGAUUGUGCUUAAGCUGGUGCACUUGGAUCAAUGACGUGGCAGGUAUCCGGGUGCCACGUAAUUCAGUGAUUCGUGCUUUGUUGAUGGGUUUGAUUUGGGCCACGCACGCAUCCAUCACCAGCCAGCUCGGAUGUUGGCGACGGUACCGUCGCCGCCGUAGAGGGCGGCAAUCACGGGCGGCCAAGGCGAUGGAUCGUCGUGGAAGAAGAAGAAGAAGAAGAAGAAGAAGGAGAAAGAAGCCCUUUUCCGUGGAGAUAAGAAGACCAGAUGUGCAGUGCACGCCCACCCGUUGUUGUCAUGCCGACUUCUCUCUCUCUCUCUCUCUCUCUCUCUUCUCCCUUUUCUUUCUUUAACCAGGGGAGGCAGCGAGGGCAAUGCAAGGAUGGAAGGCCGCGAUGGCUUCUCCUCUUCACACCGAUACCCUCCUUUUGUUUCGGAGUUGCACCCCCCCUAUUCUGCAUCCAGCCCCUCACCUUUUUUUAGCCUUGUAGCUGGGAAAGCACGGUUCUUUGCGCGCCCCCUCUCCUCUCCCUCUCUCUUCUCGUCAGGUUCAUAUUUCUCUCGGAGGAGGAGAGGGAUCGAGAGGCGGAGAGGCAGGAACCGGGGAGCGAGAUGCUGCAGAGGGCCGCGAGCAAUGCGUACUCGUGGUGGUGGGCGAGCCACAUCAGGACGAAGCAGUCGAAAUGGCUCGACGGCAACCUCCAAGGUCGGUCUUUGAUCCUUCCCCUCUGUAUCCCGUCUCCUUUUGCUCUUUUGCAACACAAGUGCUUUCUUUUUCAGCUGAAUCGAAUAGGCUUAGGCCUGCUUUUAAUUUGAUCUGCACAAUCCAAAUGCAAAUGCAUCUAUAUGUACUCGCAAUUGCAAGAACAGAAUCUUCAGUCUUUUUCUUGGCAAGGUUCCAAAUAACAUUUGCUUGAGAGAUGAAUGCAGAAAAACACACAGAUGAUAGAAAGAAUUUUAGUGACUACUUGAUCAAGGCAAUAGUUUCCUAAGUAGUGUUCUUUGUGCAAACUGUAGAUUGACGAAUGAACAAUCGGAAAAUGUACAAUAUAUCUACACUUUUUCAUCCUUCUGAAUACCUUCAGAUUGAAAGAAAAUGUCGAUGUGUGUUCUCUUUUGAGGAACAAAAUAUAUUAAUGAAAAGUUCUAAUUCAACGAUACCGAACAAUCAUUUAUUGUAACAGAUAACAAACAGGAUGGAAUCAUUUAUUGCACGAGCAGUUCCACACCAAUUACCUACUGAAUCUCCAACCCUUGUUUCUAUUUAUGAGAUUGAAUUAUAGCGCUUUGAUAUUGUACUAAUCUAGAAAAUUAGUUUGCUUUAAAUAGUCGGACGAUACAUGGUAGCCUUUAAGUUGCUCUGUUUUUCUGUCAAACUUUUUUUUUUUUGCAUGCAUAAAUUAAGCAAAUUGUGUGCCUCUACCAAGUUUCUGCCGUUGUUGAGGCUCUUCGUGUGUUUCCAGAUGUAUAAUUGAAAAGAGUUACAACAUUCUGUGUUCUUACCUGACGACAUUUAGAAUGUCAAAGGCCUGAGGAACUUGGCCUUUUGACCUAUGUUAACCAGUGUAUGUAUCGAGGAUUAUUUUCUGGUAAUGAAGGAUCAAGACGGACAUGGUAACUUAUGUCCACCGAUAAUAUGUUAUGUAGAAUUCAUUAUUUUGACACGUACUAAGUCAAAUGAAACUAAAAUUUACUGUUUUUAUAAUGCCCUCUACUUGAUGGAAAAGAAAUAUAUAUAUUGUGUGUUACCAGCCAUUGUGCUUUACUUUCUAGCUUUCUUACAAAUAGGAUUUACUUUGAUUUCAGAGAUGGAAGACAUAGUGAAAAAAAUGCUGAAGCUUAUCGAGACCAAUGCUGAUUCCUUUGCUAAGAGGGCAGAGUUGUAUUUUAAAAGGAGACCAGAGUUGAUAAGCUUUGUGGAAGAUGCUUACAAGGCUUAUCGAUCAUUGGCUGAUAGAUAUGACCACAUUUCGGGAGAAUUACACAAGGCCAACCACACCAUAGCGACUGCUUUUCCUGAACGUGUCCAGUAUGCAAUGCUAGAUGAGGAGGAGGAUACCAUUCCAAAAGCAAUAACUCCAAUUGAUCCGAGUAAAAUUAACAGGCGAACAGUAGAGGGAUUAAUGAACAAGAAAAAGGAAAGUGAGUCAUCGACAAGAAAAGCACGUAAAAAGAGUAGUCCGUCUCCGAUUGAUAAAGAAAAGGCACAAGAAGAUAUAAGUAAGCUUCAGAAAGGAAUUCUGGUUCUGCAGACCGAAAAAGAAUUUAUCAAGAGCUCGUACGAGUCUGGGAUAGCUAAGUAUUGGGAGAUUGAGAAGCAAAUCAUGGAGAUGCAAGAAGAAGUUUGUUGCUUGCAAGAUGAGUUUAGUACAAGUGCGGUCAUUGAAGAUGAGGAGGCACGUGCCAUAAUGACAUCAACAGUUCUUAAAUCUUGUGAUGAUACCAUAGUUAACAUGCAGGAACAGCGGAAGAAAUCAUUGGAACAAGCAAAAGUAGAGUCCGAAAGAACUAAGAUUGCUAAAGCAAAGGUGAAGGCUCUCAGAGGUGAGUAUUGCCAAUCUGAGGUGGAAAGUACAGAGAUGUCUGAUGAAAACACAGAAAUGACCUUCGCUGCUGAAAACAUGGAGGAAGACUAUUCUCUAAAUAAGAUGAGGACCGAGUUACAGUCCGUAUGUGAGAAAAUAAAGGAACAUUUCAAAAUGAACCCUGAAAGUUCUGUGAUUGAGAUUGCAGAAAAGAUAGAAGAGCUUGCAAACAAAGUUAUCACAUUGGAACUCACAGUUUCAUCACAUGCUGUGCAAAUAAAUCGAUUGACUUCAGAAAACGAUGAACUUGAAAAAUGCAUACAGUCGUUUAAAGAGGACAAAAGUAUAUUAAUCGAUGACCCAAAUGAGUUGUCUAAAAGAUUCAAAGAAGCUGAAGAUGAAAUAGGCAGAGUUCAGGCAAUUAAGAAAAUUGUCCAUGAUGAAGAAGCAAAUUUCUGUGAAAAUUAUGUGGAAGCCCAGCAUAGCCUCAAUGGUGUUUUAGAGAAACUGCAGCCUCCUAAACCUCUGGAAAAUGCUUGUGUUGGAGAUGCAUCCCCAGAGGAAGAGGUUUCCGCCAAAAUCCAUGACAUGAAGGGCGAUUUGGUAGAGGAGAUUCAUACAUCUCAGGAACUUGGUUCUUGCCUAGAACAUCCUUCCCAGGUUGAGGCUGGUUCUCGACUCGAAAGUGCUUCAGAGGACUCAAAGAAGGGAAAUGCAUUGGAGGAAAAAGAAUUGUCAAAAGUAGAUCUUCCCAACUGUCUAACUAGCACCAAAGAGAUCAUGCUUGAUGGAGAAGAGGAUACUCUUAACUUGCAGCAACUAAUUUUAAGUGGUUUAGAAGGCAAAGAGAAUAUUUUAUUAUCUGAGUGCACAUCAAUCCUGCAAAAUUACAAAGAGACAAAGAGAAGGCUCUCUGAGGUAGAGAAGAAGAAUGAAGACUAUCUUCAAGAAACAAUGGCUCUGAUAGGGAAACUGAAGAACGACAUUGCUAUGAAAGAUGAGGAAAUACGAUUGCUGAGACAGACAUCAGCCUCUGCAAAGAUAAGUCGGAAUGGUUCUGUGAACACUCCUGUUGAAGAAUCUUGGCACGGUCAACGGAGACCUGAAAUCACACGUAGCUCUGCGAUGGUCACAGAGCACUCGAAGCAUCAAGCUUUUGAGGUCUCCGAAGAUCUAAAUAUUGAAUCGGCUGCUGCAAGAGCUUCGUCUGUUGUGUUUAGAGAAACACGAAAUCCCCUUUCAAAUGACGUUGAUGCACAGUGCAUCAAUGAGCCAAAGAGCAUUUCUCCUGUCGAAGAAAAGUUCAGGAGGGAUAUCAAUUCACUGCUUGAUGAAAGUUUAGAAUUUUGGCUAAAGUUCAGCACAUCAUUCCAUCUGAUACGCGAGUUCAAAGCCAAAUACGAAGACCUACAAGCGGAUAUUAGUAAGCUGAAGGGCAACAAAAUUAAAGAAUGCACUGAUAAUGUUAGUGAUGAUCAAGCUAGCAAACCUGAAUCAGCACGAAUUACCACAAGACUUAGAGAAUUGAAGACUGAACUCCAUGUAUGGUUGGAACAAGGUGCAUUACUAAGUGGGGAGCUUCAAGGUAGGUUGUCAUCUCUUUGUGACUUGCAAGAAGAGAUAUCCAGUGUUGUCAACAUGAAACCAGAAUCUGGAGAAGCCCUGUUCACUCCUUUUCAGGCGGGAAGUUUUCAAGGUGAGGUGAUGAACAUGAAACAGGAGAAUGGUAAGGUUGCAAGUGAAUUACAGGUGGGAAUAGAACAACUGAGGGAGCUUCAAGCAGAAAUUGAGGAACAGUUGUCUGAUCUAUAUGAGAACUUUCAACCAUUUAUGUUAAAAAGCAGCAGUAAUGAUGACUUGGAACUUGCUCUGAGUAGGAACACGGUACCAUUACGAAAUUUCCUUUUUGGUGUGAAGCCUAAGAAACCAUCUCUAUUAUCACGCAUCCAACACAGUAAGCUUAGAGCUGGGCGCCGGAAAGUUGAUGACAGGUAUGUCAUAUAUCAAUAACUCCUAAUGCUGGUCAGAUUCUACUGUAUAAACUUGUGGAGUUAUUUUGAACAGGUCUAAAUCUUCUCACUGCUGAGUAGCUCGUUUAUGGUUGGAAGGCAGCGACAUUAUCUCAUCUCCACGACACAUAAGGCUCUUCAGAGGCACAAAUUCUGAUCAUGUUAUCCUCGUAUGCAUCGGCUCAAGAACAGCAACAACAGCUUUUCGUAACUUUCUUAUAUUGGUGCACCUUGGAACGAGUGUUUUUCUAUCAUAAUCUGGAUGAUAAUGAUUCUUCGAAGAGGAACAAAGAAAAAUAAAUCCUAAUAUGCAAAUUCUUGUUAAAAGCCUGGAUAUGCUCCCAGCUUACAUGUAAAGGUAGUUAGAAGUUGAUAAGUUAAUUCUUUUUUUCCUUUCCAUUUUGUCACUCUUCCAUGAGGCUUAUACCAGAUAUAAUCGUGCAUACUGUGAACACCGAAAUGCUCUUAAAUGUUUUAAGAUUCUCGAUAGUAUUCAUCGAUACAUUUUCCAGAUGCAAUAAGAAUUCUUGCUCAUCUUGAUCAGUUUGGAUUUGACUACUUAUAUGCUUCAUGUGUAAUUGUGCAUCAAGGUAAUCAUCUCUGAAUUAGAAUGACACAUCAUUAAAUGUAGCUUCGACUAUUUCUGAGUGUGCUGCACAUGCUUUGCUGAAAUGAGGAAACACAAAUUUUGCAUCAGGUCGUGUAACACAAUCUUAAAGCAGUUGUUAAACAACACUGGCUGGCACUAAUUCUCAGUGCAUAGAGACAACAUAUAUUUCAUUUGUAUGGUGUAUUAGCAAUGUUUGGUGUCAUAUGUUCUUCUUGAUGUGCCCUCUUUCUUGGAACCGAUUGAGAUCGAUGAGAUUAAUUUGAUCAACUCGAUGAUUUCAUAAUCUAAUCAAAAUCAGAAACAAGAAGUGAACAAUAUGCAUCAAUCUGUUGUAGUCUAGUUGGUUAGGAUAGUCGGCUCUCACCUGAGAGACCUGACAAUGGAAUAUUUUAUUUUAUUAAUAAUAUAUGUUAUGGUUUUUUGUAAUAUAAUUAGAAUUGUAUAUGCAUUUUCUAUAUAUUAUUUUUAAAAUCAAAUUUAGUAACUAACCACCAAUGUAAAAGGAGAUAACCAAAAAGAGACAUAAACUUCACAAUUUUUUUUUUCAAUCAACAUUUGCUGUGCAUUUGUUAUCAAGAAGUUCUUAAUAUAUAUUAUAAUCUAUUAAUAAUAUAUGUUAUAAUACCUUUAAAUUUUGUAAUAUAAUUAGAAUUGUAAAUGCAUUUUCUAUAUAUUAUUUUAAAAAUCAAAUUUAGUACUUAACCACCAACUUAAAAGGAAAUAACCAAAAAGAGACAUAAACUUCAUAAUUUUGUUUUCAAUCAGCAUUUGUUCUAUAUUUGUUAUCAAGAAAUUCAUACUAAAAAUGGUCUAUAUAUAUAUAUAUAUAUAUAUAUAUAUUNNNNNNNNNNNNNNNNNNNNNNNNNNNNNNNNNNNNNNNNNNNNNNNNNNNNNNNNNNNNNNNNNNNNNNNNNNNNNNNNNNNNNNNNNNNNNNNNNNNNNNNNNNNNNNNNNNNNNNNNNNNNNNNNNNNNNNNNNNNNNNNNNNNNUAAAUAAGUAGUAUAUAUAUAUAUAUAUAUAUAUAUAUAUUGAACACCAGAAAUCAGCACUAAUACCCUUGAAAUUUGUCUUCUAAUUGGAACUGUAAGUGCAUUUUCUAUAAUAUUACUUCUAAAGUUCACUUUAGUAGUUACCCUCCAACUCAAAAGGACAUUAAAGUAUAAGCCUUACUAUUACUAAACAAACAGUUCACUACACACGGCAGACAUCAUCACUUACACAAACUAUUUAUUAUAUGUUGCUAACAGUAUAAAGGCAGGAUAGAUGACUUUAGCUGCAGAAAUGGCCAAGGUUGUCUUCUACUUCUGUUUCCAACUAUUUAGUAGCUCCCAGUAUAUCUUAUAUUCUAUAUCAGAUUCGAGCCACCUGCAAUAUUUACAUAUCACAAUUAUGAAUUAGAGACAUCGAGGAGUCAAAAUAGAUUGCAAUGCUGUAAGUUUGGGACUAAAGGCAUCUAGAUACACACACUUCUUUUGGGGAGAAAAAAACCCAGAAACACCAAUGAUUAUAUCUCCUUAAUUAAUAGGAGAAAGAUGUAAACGACUUCUGCAUCAACAUGAUCUUUUGCACUUUGUUAGUUCACAUCCUAGUGAAAGAAUAAAGAAAAUUCAGACCAACAUUUUUUCUUUGUCCUUUUUCAUAUGAACAUAGAAGAACAUGUAACGGGUGAGAUCAGAACCUGUAAAACAAAAGAGCAUAGAGGACUCUUCACUCAAUCUGGAAAAACAGAAAAAAGGAAGAACACGUAAAUAUCAUCUAGCUUUUGAACAAUGAACACCAAUGUAUGAAGCUAAAUUCAAACUGAGAAACAAUAAUGAUAUUUUACCCCCAAGCGCUU